UGACUGUCCCUAGCCUCUGCAGUACAUAAUAAAAGCCUGACAUAGCAGGCUGCCUGCCUUCUGUGUCCUGCAGAUACUCAUCAUAAGUGUCAGGACAUACCAAGGUUAGCGGUCACUGGAAGUGUGCUCGCUGGCCCAAACCUUGCCAAACGCUCUUGGCAGCUGAAUGAAUGUCACAGAGAAUAGAAGGGGAAUUACAAAGGUUAAAAAGAAGACAGCCUCUCCUAUUUUCUGGAGACAGAGAAGCUGAUUUUUCACACCUCUGAACCGUCCGUAAGCUCAUUCAUCAGCCUCUUGCGGGGGACCUAAACCUUGCCCCUUGCUCAGUUCUCCACGGACACUCCUCCCUCCUCAAUCCCCUUUAAAAAUUGGCCCUCUGGCCUCAUUUCAUCACUGAGAUGAUCUUCACUGAAAUGGACAGAAAACAAACCAGGCAUCGACUUCUUUCCCUGGCCACCCACCCCCCAACCCAUAACCAAAGGCUCCAAUGGCCUAUCAAGCCUAUCAAUAGAUUACAAACUUUUCAAGGGAAAUCAUCUUUAUAGUUGAUCUUUUAAGCUAAUUUUUUUUCAAACUUACUUCGAUGGAGAAAUGGAAAAGGACACGUGUACUGGCAGGCAUGGCUAGCGAAUGGGAAACUACAAUCCUGCCUAGUAUUUUGGUGAAUUAGUUUGUGUGUGGGUUUUCCUUCUUCUUCCUCCUCCAUUUUUUUUUUUAUACUAUAAAAGGGCAAUAAAAUGCUGACUGUAAGAAGACAAUGUCAAGGAGAAAAGGGUACUGGUAUUUUGGAUACUCUUCACUGCUCGCCUUGGAGAGAGAGUUAUUCUUGUCACAAACCCUUUUGUCUGCAUCUGCUGACUGCUUGCCUGUAGCCAGCAGCAUACUUUAACUGUUUUGUCACCUCCUAACAUCACAUGCAUCAGCUGUUGGGCUUUUGUUACGGGUAUUGUAGAACUAAUCCGCUGUGGCUGUUCUACUGUGCGGUAAAUAAAACAGAAACGGGCUUCUCAGACUAUUCUGCAUGAAUAUUUCAGAUGGCUUUUACAACUCCGAUUCACAAAAUCAAAUAAAUAAAUAACUCCCCAGCCACCCCCCAGCCUCUCCCCACACCCAGAAACAAAACCCCUCGAUCUAGCCCCAGAUGCCUCCAAGUCAACUGCAUUCAAGAGGCUGACUUGAGCCUUCAAGCAAUUGUUUCAGGGAACUCGAAAGAACAGUGCUCUCUCAAUUUUCACACCGUGGAAUUCAUAUACAGUAGUAGAGUUAAAUGUAUCUAAUGCUGAAGCAGCUCUGAAAAAUUGGAGAAAGUUACUUUUUGUCCCUGUGGGCCUUUAAAAAUAUAUAGGUAAUGCCAUCAAAAAUACAUAGUGAAGAGCUGCCUUGUCAAACUGCUUUUAUUGUUUCCAUCCGUAUUUUCUUCCCUUCCACUCAUCUGAAAGGGGUCAAAGGUAGAUGCUUGUGCAUUUAGUUUAUCCUAAGAGUCUCUUUUGUGCUCUAUAUAAAAGCACAAAAGAAGAAUCAAACUUUGCUGGGUUAGAAAAACUGAAUCUGCAUCAUGAGUUCUUUAAUGGUAUAAUGAUGAUGUACCAAUCAUACAUAGCGAGGUAUUUUUCUAGAUGACUUCGAAGUGUCUUUGGAGAAGUUAAAAAGAGAAUGGGCAUCUGCACACGUGUGUGCACACACACGUACACAAAAAUCUUAGGGAAGGAGACAAAUAGUUGAAGUACUUUCCCGAGCAUUCAUUCACCCUAGUGUGCACAUGAUUCCUCUAAACAAACUCUCCCAUCCCUGCUGUUUGUUAAGUAAAUAUUGAUCAAGGAGAGACCCAUCUCCUGACAGCAGUGGCACAAGCUGGGGACUUACACUGCAGACAGAGUGGACUUAAAUGGAUAAACUCAGAUGCUUUAGUAACUCCUCAUAGAGAUUAUCAGAUGAAAAGGCAAGAACAGAUACGUUAUGCUGCUUCUCUUCACUGUCUCACUCACACUAAACUCUCCUGCCAGAGGCUGAAAA
rnacentral:antisense_RNA from 1 species